rnacentral:rRNA from 1 species
UGCAAGUCGAACGAUGAAGCCCAGCUUGCUGGGUGGAUUAGUGGCGAACGGGUGAGUAACACGUGAGUAACCUGCCCUUAACUCUGGGAUAAGCCUGGGAAACUGGGUCUAAUACCGGAUAGGAGCGCCUACCGCAUGGUGGGUGUUGGAAAGAUUUAUCGGUUUUGGAUGGACUCGCGGCCUAUCAGCUUGUUGGUGAGGUAAUGGCUCACCAAGGCGACGACGGGUAGCCGGCCUGAGAGGGUGACCGGCCACACUGGGACUGAGACACGGCCCAGACUCCUACGGGAGGCAGCAGUGGGGAAUAUUGCACAAUGGGCGCAAGCCUGAUGCAGCGACGCCGCGUGAGGGAUGACGGCCUUCGGGUUGUAAACCUCUUUCAGUAGAGAAGAAGCGAAAGUGACGGUACCUGCAGAAGAAGCACCGGCUAACUACGUGCCAGCAGCCGCGGUAAUACGUAGGGUGCGAGCGUUAUCCGGAAUUAUUGGGCGUAAAGAGCUCGUAGGCGGUUUGUCGCGUCUGUCGUGAAAGUCCGGGGCUUAACCCCGGAUCUGCGGUGGGUACGGGCAGACUAGAGUGCAGUAGGGGAGACUGGAAUUCCUGGUGUAGCGGUGGAAUGCGCAGAUAUCAGGAGGAACACCGAUGGCGAAGGCAGGUCUCUGGGCUGUAACUGACGCUGAGGAGCGAAAGCAUGGGGAGCGAACAGGAUUAGAUACCCUGGUAGUCCAUGCCGUAAACGUUGGGCACUAGGUGUGGGGACCAUUCCACGGUUUCCGCGCCGCAGCUAACGCAUUAAGUGCCCCGCCUGGGGAGUACGGCCGCAAGGCUAAAACUCAAAGGAAUUGACGGGGGCCCGCACAAGCGGCGGAGCAUGCGGAUUAAUUCGAUGCAACGCGAAGAACCUUACCAAGGCUUGACAUGUUCUCGAUCGCCGUAGAGAUACGGUUUCCCCUUUGGGGCGGGUUCACAGGUGGUGCAUGGUUGUCGUCAGCUCGUGUCGUGAGAUGUUGGGUUAAGUCCCGCAACGAGCGCAACCCUCGUUCCAUGUUGCCAGCACGUAAUGGUGGGGACUCAUGGGAGACUGCCGGGGUCAACUCGGAGGAAGGUGAGGACGACGUCAAAUCAUCAUGCCCCUUAUGUCUUGGGCUUCACGCAUGCUACAAUGGCCGGUACAAUGGGUUGCGAUACUGUGAGGUGGAGCUAAUCCCAAAAAGCCGGUCUCAGUUCGGAUUGGGGUCUGCAACUCGACCCCAUGAAGUCGGAGUCGCUAGUAAUCGCAGAUCA